rnacentral:lncRNA from 1 species
AUAUAUAAAUCACAAUUUUUCCCGCCAUUAUCAACUAUUUUAACCGAAGUUUCAUUAUCAAUAAUAGGGCGUGUAUUCUCUUCCACAGCAACCUCGCUGCCAUUGGUCCCAGGAUCCACCGAGUCGUUUUCAGAAAUCUGCGAAAUGGGUUCUUGAAUUGACGUCUCCAACCCUCCUGGGUCAUUAACAAAUUCCGGUUCUUUUAUGGGUUUUGUCUUAUCUUCAACAGAAACCACGCUGCCAUUGAACCCAGAAUCGAACGACUCGUUCUCAGAAAUCUGCGAAAUAGGUUCUUGAAUUGACGGCUCCAACCCUCCUGGGUCGGUAACAAAUUGCGAUUUGUACAAGGGCUUUGUCUUCUCUUCUACAGAAACCUCGUCAUUGCCGCCACUGUUAAUGAACCCAAAAUCGACUGAGCCCUUUUUUGAAAUCUGCCAA